rnacentral:rRNA from 1 species
GACGAACCGUCCUAACGUUGUUCGGAAUCACUGGGCUUAAAGGGCGCGUAGGCGGGCCAGCAAGUCUAGGGUGAAAUCCUCCGGCUUAACCGGAGAACAGCCUUGGAUACUGCUGGUCUCGAGGGAGGUAGGGGUCUGCGGAACUUCUGGUGGAGCGGUGAAAUGCGUUGAUAUCAGAAGGAACGCCGGUGGCGAAAGUGGCGGACUGGACCUUCACUGACGCUGAGGCGCGAAAGCUAGGGGAGCAAACGGG